CCUACGGGAGGCAGCAGUGGGGACUAUUGCACAAUGGGGGAAACCCUGAUGCAGCGACGCCGCGUGAGUGAAGAAGUAAUUCGUUAUGUAAAGCUCUAUCAGCAGGGAAGAAAAUGACGGUACCUGUGUAAGCAGCGCCGGCUAACUACGUGCCAGCAGCCGCGGUAAUACGUAGGGGGCAAGCGUUAUCCGGAUUUACUGGGUGUAAAGGGAGCGUAGACGGCAGUGCAAGUCUGGAGUGAAAGGCGGGGGCUCAACCCCCGGACGGCUCUGGAAACUGUACGGCUGGAGUGCAGGAGAGGUAAGUGGAAUUCCUAGUGUAGCGGUGAAAUGCGUAGAUAUUAGGAGGAACACCAGUGGCGAAGGCGGCUUACUGGACUGUAACUGACGUUGAGGCUCGAAAGCGUGGGGAGCAAACAGGAUUAGAUACCCGAGUAGUC
rnacentral:rRNA from 1 species